CCUGGGUACUUCUUGCUGCUUUGAGAGUGUCUGUGUUGAGAGUGUCUUAGUGCCUGAGCCCGAGGAAAUGAGUUCACUCCUCCUCUAUCUGCUCUUUGCUGUCUUUUAUGCUGUGCUGAGGCUUGCCAGAUCUGAGGCUUCUCCGAGGAAGAGGAGACACAGGAAGAAAAAGAAGAAACCAAAAGCUUUUGGGUGCUGUGCGGAAGAGUUGGAGGAGGCUUGUGCAUCCCCAGAGACAUGGUAAGCAAUGCCCCCCUCCAUAAAUCUGCAGUGGGUCAGUCCUCUCCUUUAGCGCCAUGCAAUUCAUCCUCACCCGAGUAAUCCCUCCCCUGCCCCGACCUAUGUACCACGCAAGCAACUCUUCUCCUUUAGACUCCUGCAAUUCAUUCCCACCCAGCAGAAGUUGCCAUCUCUAAUCCACCCCUACGCAUCGUACAGUGGGUCAUUCCCUUCCUUGAG